rnacentral:lncRNA from 1 species
AAGAAAGAACAUGCUGAUGUCACUGCUUCUUAGACAUAAUUACAGAGCUCCAUGUAUGUCAGAUACUCAGCUAAUAAUAACAGCAAAAUGUAUUGGGCAGUGGUUGUGUGCCAGCACCUGUAUUGGUCAGUUUUUCAUGAUUGUGACAAAAUACCUGCCAUAAGUAACUUAAAGGAGGAAAGGUUUAUUUUGGCUCAUGGGUUCAGAGGUUUUAUUCCAUAGUUGGCUGGCUGCAUUGUUUUUAGGCCUGUGGCAAGGCGGAAACAUUGUGGCAGAGGAAAGUUGUUCACCUCAGGUCAGCCAGGAAGCAGAGAGAAAGGGAAAAAGCCCAGGAGAAAGAAAGGAGGGGCCCUGGACAAGACUUUUAGAGACUGAGUGCCCAAACUGCAACCCAAAACCCACUUAUUUAUCCCAAAGUGCCAACACUGCAAUUAAACCUGAAUACUAAGACUUUAGUUUAGAAAAAAUAACUCAUACAUUAACAUCUUUUGUCUUAAAAGAAAUAUAACUCAUGUGCCAUAGGUUUGCCAUCCUUUUAAGACACACCCCAAGUAACCUACUUCAUCCAGUUCCCAACCUCUGAUGGCCCAUUCAGCUGUGAACUCAUCUGUGGGUUAAUCCAUUGAUGUGGCACGAUUAUUUGAUGAACCUCAGCUUGCAAGUCUCUGUCUAGACACAAUUGACAAAAGCACCGUGGAUGCAAUCAGCGCAGAAGGGUUUACUGAUAUUGAUAUCGGGGGCUAUCAAGUGCUUCUUUUGUUCUUUAUCUACUCUCAUGUGAAAGAAUACUGCUUGCAUCUGCAUGACUUAGACCUGCAAAUUGUUUUAUAAACAGCUGUUACAUUAUUCAUGCCAUUGGAGCC